UACGUAGGGUGCGAGCGUUAAUCGGAAUUACUGGGCGUAAAGUGUGCGCAGGUGGCCGCGCAAGUCGAGUGUGAAAUCCCCGGGCUUAACCUGGGAACUGCGUUUCUAACUGGCAGGCUUGAGUGUGGCAGAGGGGGGUGGAAUUCCACGUGUAGCAGUGAAAUGCGUAGAUAUGUGGAGGAACACCGAUGGCGAAGGCAGCCCCCUGGGCUAACACUGACGCUCAUGCACGAAAGCGUGGGGAGCAAACAGG
rnacentral:rRNA from 1 species